rfam:Yarrowia lipolytica CLIB122 chromosome E complete sequence
GGGAGUUUGGCCGAGUGGUCUAAGGCGCUAGCUUCAGGUUCUAGUGUCGAAAGAGGCGUGAGUUCGAACCUCCCAGCUCUCU